UGUAGGAGCCGGCUUGCUGGCGAUGCAGGCGACUCGGUUUAACGCCUAACCGAGUCGCUUCCAUCGCCAGCAAGCCGGCUCCUACA
rnacentral:misc_RNA from 1 species